rnacentral:rRNA from 1 species
UAAGGAAUAUUGGACAAUGGUCGCAAGACUGAUCCAGCCAUGCCGCGUGCAGGAAGACGGCCCUAUGGGUUGUAAACUGCUUUUGUACCAGAGAAAACCUAUCUACGUGUAGAUAGCUGAUAGUAUGGUAAGAAUAAGCAUCGGCUAACUUCGUGCCAGCAGCCGCGGUAAGACGACGGAUGCAAGCGUUAUCCGGAUUCAUUGGGUUUAAAGGGUGCGUAGGCGGGCUUGUAAGUCAGUGGUGAAAUCUCUCAGCUUAACUGAGAAACUGCCAUUGAUACUGCAGGCCUAGAGUAUAUAUGACGUUGGCGGAAUAUGACAUGUAGUGGUGAAAUACUUAGAUAUGUCAUAGAACACCGAUUGCGAAGGCAGCUAACGAAACUAUAACUGACGCUGAGGCACGAAAGUGCGGAGAUCAAACA